UCCUUCCUUGUCUUGGGGAGCAUAAUGCCCAGUGAACGUGUAGUGAGGGCAUUGAUGCUGACAAACCCAUUAAAGCGAAGGAUGCAUCUCGCAUGCAUCCCUUUGCAAUAGACCUCGGCCACCGGAUCGCUUUCAAACAGCUGGUCCGGGCGGUCGGAAUUUUUGAAGCG